CGUUAGCGGCGGACGGGUGAGUAACACGUGGGUAACCUACCUAUAAGACUGGGAUAACUUCGGGAAACCGGAGCUAAUACCGGAUAAUAUUUCGAACCGCAUGGUUCGAUAGUGAAAGAUGGUUUUGCUAUCACUUAUAGAUGGACCCGCGCCGUAUUAGCUAGUUGGUAAGGUAACGGCUUACCAAGGCGACGAUACGUAGCCGACCUGAGAGGGCGAUCGGCCACACUGUAACUGAGACACGGUCCAGACUCCUACGGGAGGCAGCAGCA
rnacentral:rRNA from 1 species